ACUCCUACGGGAGGCAGCAGUGGGGAAUAUUGGACAAUGGGGGCGAACCCUGAUCCAGCCAUGCCGCGUGUGUGAAGAAGGCCUUUUGGUUGUAAAGCACUUUAAGCAGUGAAGAAGACUCCAUGGUUAAUACCCAUGGACGAUGACAUUAGCUGCAGAAUAAGCACCGGCUAACUCUGUGCCAGCAGCCGCGGUAAUACAGAGGGGUGCAAGCGUUAAUCGGAAUUACUGGGGCGUAAAGCGAGCGUAGGUGGCUUGAUAAGUCAGAUGUGAAAGCCCCGGGCUUAACCUGGGAACGGCAUCUGAUACUGUUAGGCUAGAGUAGGUGAGAGGAAGGUAGAAUUCCAGGUGUAGCGGUGAAAUGCGUAGAGAUCUGGAGGAAUACCGAUGGCGAAGGCAGCCUUCUGGCAUCAUACUGACACUGAGGUUCGAAAGCGUGGGGUAGCAAACAGGAUUAGAUACCCUGGUAGCGACUGA
rnacentral:rRNA from 1 species